AGCAUAUAAAGAGAUCGAAAGCAAAUACAAUGAACCUUAACAGCGGCAGCGACGGCAUCACCAACGACGCCAGGAGAGGCCUGCCAUGUUCCAAGACCCACAGACGGGAUCUUAGCACCGGUGUUGAGCUCGAAGAAUCCGAUAGCGUUCAACAUUGUCAGAGACUUGGUGGUUAUGAGUUUAAGAUCGCUGGUUUUGGUGAGAAGUGAGAGCUAUAUAGGAGGGGAGAUUCGUAGGAAAACUUAAUUUUUCUUGAAUUUUAGUAUUGCCACGUCAUAUAUUGAUCAUUACAUGGACGUAUAUUAUUCGCUCAUUUAGAUCGCCUCGUUGCUAUGUCGAAUGCGAUCGUUCAAAGUAACAUGUUUUUGGGUCCACGCAUGCAUUGGCUCGAGCGUAUUUAAUGAUCGACGGCUGUUUUGAGCUAAUCUAUGCAUUUAAUUUGCACCGUCGACCGCUUUCUAAAUUGCAAGUUACAAUUUUUUAAGAUAAUUUUUAAGUUAGAUAAAUUUUUCUCAUAUUUUAACUAUCAAUGAUGUUAUCUUAAAUAGAAAAAAGAUUAGCUAACCGUACAAAAUGAUUUUUUGAGUGCAAUUACUAAAGAAAAGUUGUUUUUGUAAAAGUAAACAAAUAUUUGUAAGAUCAUAUAUUCAAACUUUAUACAUAUUUCCAGGGUUUUGAAUUUAGAGAUCUUAUAACAUUUUUUUGCGGUUCCUAGAAAAUUUUCAACUCGAAUAAAUUAAGAACUUACAUGUUGUAUGGGUCCAUGUGGGCCAUAUGAGGUGGUGGUCAUCAACAUCAACGUCUCAAAAUAACAAUUUAGUGGCACGUUCAAUUUCUCGUUUAGACAAUCUGGCACUAUAUACCAGGGUUUGAUUGGUAUGUUAAUAACAACCAACUACAAGCAUCACAUUUUCUAUUUGAGAUGAUUACAAUAUAUUGCGAAUUGUAUAAUCGGAUCAAUAACUUUUUUGAAUAAUAUAAUAAUUCAAAA